rnacentral:rRNA from 1 species
UGCCAGCAGCCGCGGUAAUACGGAGGGGGCGAGCGUUGUUCGGAAUUACUGGGCUUAAAGGGUGCGUAGGCGGUCCUAUAAGUUGGGUGUGAAAUACCUCGGCUCAACCGAGGAAUUGCGCCCAAUACUGUAGAACUAGAGGGAGACAGAGGUGAGCGGAACUUGUGGUGGAGCGGUGAAAUGCGUUGAUAUUACAAGGAACACCUGUGGCGAAAGCGGCUCACUGGGUCUCUUCUGACGCUGAGGCACGAAAGCUGGGGGAGCGAACGGGAUUAGAUA